UACGGAGGGGGCUAGCGUUGUUCGGAAUUACUGGGCGUAAAGCGCACGUAGGCGGCUUUGUAAGUUAGAGGUGAAAGCCCGGGGCUCAACUCCGGAAUUGCCUUUAAGACUGCAUCGCUAGAAUUGUGGAGAGGUAAGUGGAAUUCCGAGUGUAGAGGUGAAAUUCGUAGAUAUUCGGAAGAACACCAGUGGCGAAGGCGACUUACUGGACACUUCCUGACACUGAGGCACGAAAGCUAGGGGAGCAAACAGG
rnacentral:rRNA from 1 species